ensembl:lncRNA
GCAGUGCCUGUUUACACGCAAACAACCUGCAAAGCAGUAGAAAACGCCAGUGCACACAAAGUUGACGCUGACGCCUCGAGUGGCCAUUUAGCCAGCCUUCGACAGCUACUCCAUUGUGAAGCUGCCAGCUCCAUUGAUAAACAAAAUCAAAAUCCAUGUGCAUGAAAGGACAUCUUCCAGGGCUAAAGAGGUGCUGUAAGCACCGCGGGCCUGUGAGGGAGCCCCACUGGUGGUGAAUUCACCCUGCGAAUAAUGACAGCUAGCGGGACGCUGCCGGCACCGGUGGCUCCCUGCCAAACUCCUGUCGGUCAAAGCCCCAGCUCCUGACCCCCUUUUUUUUUUGGCUGCGCGCUGCAGAAAGGGGUGGGGGGAGGACGCAUUGUUGGGGAUUUCGCAGUGGAGUGGUGCGACAAACGCGGGCCCCACUGUGCUUUCGGGGUUCCUUAAUCUGCCCGUCGCUCACGUGCGUCUCUUUCUCACAGCGUCGUCACAGGUGCUUGUGUGCCGACCCCGCACUUCUGUGUUGGGCUCCUGCAUCUCACUCCGGGGGGGAAAGUGUGUUUGAUUUUGUACCGAAAAAGGGCCCCCUUCUCAUACAGCCAGGUCCCCUGAAGACAGCAUUGGCAGCCAUUCAACAACCCCAAAAUUCCUCUCCCUGCUGGAUGUUGCAUAGGGACAAGACAUAGAGACUGUUUUCUUCUUUCUCUUUUUUUUAUACUCUACUCCCCUUGAUCUUCUUUUUCAAUUUUUUUUCUUUCUACUUUCCUCUUUCUGUUUCUUUGUCACAUCUUCUUUCUGGAGUAAGCGAGGACACAGCAAUGCGGCGGGGGUUUGGAGGGCAAGCUCCUUGGUGAGAUACAAUGGGCAAAGCUUCUUGAAUUACAAAUGGCUGGUCCUCAUGUUGGAUAAAGGGUUUUUUCAAUGGUCCAUUCAGGUGUUGAUCUUCACCUAAGUUACAGACUCUUGGAGCCGCGCUGAGGCCCUCAAGCUACGCCCUGCUUCUAACUCCAGCACUGUCCAAGCAAGGGGAGCAAUUACCCACGAAUGGCUUCAGCGUUUCACUUCCACUCUGUACACACUGGGGUUCAUUUUCUUUUCCUACCACGCAAAUGACAGUUUAAGAGUCUCAUCUAAAAUUAUAAACCUGGCAUUUUAUAAUUAUAAAUGGUGCCCCAGUG